UACGGAGGAUCCAAGCGUUAUCCGGAUUCACUGGGUUUAAAGGGUGCGUAGGCGGAAUGACAAGUCAGUGGUGAAAACCUGCAGCUUAACUGUAGAACUGCCAUUGAUACUGUUAUUCUUGAGUACAUUUGAUGUGAGUGGAAUGUGUCGUGUAGCGGUGAAAUGCUUAGAUAUGACACAGAACACCAAUUGCGAAGGCAGCUCACAAAACUGUAAACUGACACUGAGGCACGGAAAAGGCCGUUGGGGGAUCAAAACAGGG
rnacentral:rRNA from 1 species